ensembl:lncRNA
GACAGCACUAAAUGAGGCAGGCCAGGCUGUCAUCGUCUUCUGAAAUUAUUCCGUCUGCUCAAUGUGAUGUCAUGGACCUUACCUCUUAAUGAGUCCCUGCCCCUCUAACUUGAGUGCAAAAUCUUUACAAGCCACGUGGUAAACAUUGAAGUAUUUGAGCGUCCCAAGUGAAAAAGGAGUUUGAUGAUGCAAUGCUGACUAAAGGUUGGAACUGCCAGAAAAUCUGCGACAAGGGGUCUUUGUCAGUGGUUGUGUAUCCAGUGUAUCUGGGACAGAGGGGACCCUCCACAGCUCUUUGUGGAAUCGCUGGAUGUUGGCGCCUGUAACGCUUCACCAUUCAUUUUUCUGGCUUCUCCAGCGUCCAUGAAGGCCCACAGAGUCAGGCAACCACACACAGCCACAGUGGCCUCUGCAGUCUAAGAAGGGUUUCAGUCUCCUUCUAGAAGUUUCUCUCCAGUUCUCAAAUGUCAUGACCAAAGGAAGGAAGAAAGUCUGACUUUGAAAUUGAUGCCUUGACACAGCAAGGCAAAGAAAGUUUCUAGCGGACGGCCCAGGCCUUGCUGUUUUGUGAAGAUAACAGGAAGAGUAAUUUGUUUUCAGAGUGUAAUUUUAUUGUAUCUUAAUGCAAAAGAAGGCUCUGAAGACUCAUUUUAACAGAAGCAACACCUGAAAUUUUCACUUGAAAGGAAAAAACAAAGCAUUACAUUUGCUCAGCUG